rnacentral:rRNA from 1 species
AUGUAUGUAUGUAUGUAUGUAUGUAUUAUGUAUUAUGUAUGUAUGUAUCCAUGUAUGCAUCCUCCCCAUCUUGCGGAUCCACAUAAGGCGUCCCAUCUUCGGCCUCGGCUGCAGCUGCCGGCAUCAUUGCCUCGGUUGCGGCGGCUGCUUGCCUCAUGCCUCAAGCCUAUGGUGUUGCUGCUCACCUGCUCCACACCGGGUCACGAUGGAUCUAGUGUCCUUGAUCGGUUGGUAGCGGGCGUGGCUGUGUUGCUCGUUGGCCCAUGGAGGCGUGGGUGUGGCAUGGUGUGUACGUGUGGAGAAUGA